rnacentral:rRNA from 1 species
AUACGUAGGGGGCGAGCGUUGUCCGGAAUGACUGGGCGUAAAGGGCGCGUAGGCGGCGAUAUAAGUUAGGAGUGAAAUUCCAGCUUUCAAGGUUGGAACUGCUUUUAAUACUGUAUAGCUUGAGUGCAGAAGAGGUAAGCGGAAUUCCCAGUGUAGCGGUGAAAUGCGUAGAGAUUGGGAAGAACACCAGUGGCGAAGGCGGCUUACUGGGCUGUAACUGACGCUGAGGCGCGAAAGCGUGGGGAGCGAACAGGAUUAGAUACCCUGGUAGUCCACGCUGUAAACGAUGAAUGCUAGGUGUAGGGGGUAUCGACCCCUCCUGUGCCGGAGUCAACACAAUAAGCAUUCCGCCUGGGGAGUACGGCCGCAAGGUUGAAACUCAAAUGAAUUGACGGGG